AGCAGCCGCGGUAAUUCCAGCUCCAAUAGCGUAUAUUAAAGUUGUUGCAGUUAAAAGCUCGUAGUUGAAUUUCGAGAUCAAAUUGUUGGUCGUGCCUCGGUACGCACUGGCAUUAUUGAUUUCUCCCUUCUGACGAUCCGCGAUGUCAUUAAUUUGGUGUCGCGGGGAAUCAGGACUGCUACUUUGAAAAAUUGAGUGUUUAAAGCAGGCUCACGCUUGAAUACAUUAGCAUGGAAUAAUGAAAUAGGACGUUUGAUUCUAUUUUGUUGGUUUCUAGGAUCGACGUAAUGAUUAAUAGGGAUAGUUGGGGGCAUUAGUAUUCAAUUGUCAGAGGUGAAAUUCUUGGAUUUAUUGAAGCUAACUACUGCGAAAGCAUUUGCCAA
rnacentral:rRNA from 1 species